rnacentral:rRNA from 1 species
UACGUAGGGUGCAAGCGUUAAUCGGAAUUACUGGGCGUAAAGCGUGCGCAGGCGGUUAUGUAAGACAGAUGUGAAAUCCCCGGGCUCAACCUGGGAACUGCAUUUGUGACUGCAUAGCUAGAGUACGGUAGAGGGGGGAUGGAAUUCCGCGUGUAGCAGUGAAAAUGCGUAGAUAUGCGGAGGAACACCGAUGGCGAAAGGCAAUCCCCCUGGACCUGUACUGACGCUCAUGCACGAA